GACGAACGCUGGCGGCGUGCUUAACACAUGCAAGUCGAACGAAGUGGCGAACGGGUGAGUAACGCGUAAUCAACCUGCCCUUCAGAGGGGGACAACAGUUGGAAACGACUGCUAAUCCCGCAUACUGAAGGAGGGGAUUGCGUCUGAUUAGCUAGUCGGAGGGGUAACGGCCCACCAAGGCGAUGAUCAGUAGCCGGUCGGAGGGGAUGAACGUGCAACUUGGGACUGGAGACCGGCCCAGAAUCCUACGGGAGGCAGCCGUGGGGAAUCUUCCGAAAUGGACGAAAGUCUGACGGAGCAACGCCGCGUGAUUGAUGACGGCCUUCGGGUUGUAAAAGUCUGUUAAUCGGGACGCGGUACCGGAAUAGAAAGCCACGGCUAACUACGUGCCAGCAGCCGCGGUAAUUC
rnacentral:rRNA from 1 species